GACUAGUGAAUUGUUUAUUUUGCAGAAAAGUGCGCAAAGGCACUAUAAUCGUCAAGACUUCUACUAUGUGGCUAACGAGAAGAGAGAAGGGCAUGAAAGAAAUACGUCAAGGCUUGAGCGUGAAGGAAAGAAGUAAUGUAGGGGAGCAAACUAAAAGAAGAGGAGGAUCUUCUUGGGAAGAAAGAAGAAAGGAGGAGGGCCAAAGUAAAAAAAGACAGAACAGAGGAGGGGAUCAAAAAUCCCUAGCGCAGCCGAUCCCCAUCAGGCCUGCAUCUCACCUCUCUCCCUCACCCCUCCUUCUCCACCACCGGCCGUCGCCGCGGCCAGGCCGGCGUGGCGGUGCGCCUGCUGCUCCUCCACUCAGCCACGAGCACCAUCCGCCGCACCAUCCAUCCAUCCCAGCCGCGCCGUGCCAUCCAUCCACCACUCCACCAGCGUCACUAGCUCCACUUCACCACCGCGCCUCACCAGCGCCCACCUCGCGCGCCCCUCCUGCCGCUUCCUCUCUGAACCCGCUGUUGCUGCUGCAUCUUCCUUCUUCCUCUCGACCUCCUGUUGCUCUUCUCCAAGCACCGCUGCUGCUCCUUCCUUGCAACCCCCCUGCUGUUGUUCAUCCUCUCCACCUCCUUGCGCCUCCCUGCCGGUACCCUUCUCUGCUCAAAACUGCUGCUGCUUGUGCACUCCAGCUUCUCCUUCUUCUCCUGCCUACUGCUGGUUCUUCUUCCCCACAUCACUUUUGCUGCUCCUCUUCUCUGCCUCGCUACUGUUCUUCUUACCUGAACCUCAAAAUUGCUGCUGUUCUCUUCUAAACAACAAAACUGCUGCUACUACUACCUCAACCUCCUAUUGCUUUCUUUCUUUCUCACUCUCUUUUAAAUUUCUGUAAGAUUGAGACGCAUGUGAUUUGUAUUAUUCAGAUUUGAUAAGUGUUAGUAAUCUACUGUUGUUCAGUUCAGACUUCCUGUGUGUGUUAAUUAGUUAAAAUUGUCACUUGUGUACUGCUUGUUGCAGAUUCUUGCUCAUUUUUGUUGUCUAUGUGUUAGCUCAUGCAUCUGAGAAUUAUAAAGACAUAUGUGUGUGUGGUUGAUGUGAAACAAUUAUAUAUAUGUCUCAUGUUUGUUAGUUAGUGGUUUGUAUAAAUUCAGAUUACUACUUGUGAUUUAAUUUUGUAUUGAAAUUGUUCUCUGUGGUAGUCAGUUGUGUGAUCAUUCAAUUUUCAGUCUAUGUAUUAGCUCUGUACCUGUAAUAUAUGUUGUGACAUGAAGCAUUUUCAUCCUUGUCCAUUAUCUUGUUUCUUCACUCUGUCAUACGCUUGUUAGAUAAAUAUAUGUGUUCAUGUCCUGUUGUUCCCUUUUGUGUUAGCAUUUUAGUUUCUCAAGUAACAGGAAAACACCAAAAAAGACAAUAUAGACAAUCUGAACCUCCCCUUUGCUUAUUUUACAUUUUCUUUGGCGACGAUCUUCGGGAACUACCUUGUUAGUUUAGGUUUAUUUUCUUGCAUUUAUAAUCUGAGUUCUGUCACCUAGCUUUAGCCGAGCAUUGUUGCUGUCGCCUAGUCCCUGUGGAGAACACGACACUCACAGUUCGGGUGAAAUAUCCCGCAGUACUUUCAAUCGAUCAUUUUGGCGCCGUUGCCGGGGACUAGCGUCGUGUGACCGUGUUAGGCUAUAGACUAGGUUUUGCUUCUGUUUCUAUCUGGUGCCAUAUAUUUGUGAUAUAUCUCUUACCCCUAACCACUGUUCUAGUUAUCUUCUCUUUCUUUUCUUGUUCAUUUUGUAGGUUGAAUUGUCUUCUCGGAUAUGGCUUACUAUUCAGAUCAUCAUGCUUAUGCGAGCAACACUACAAACAACACGGAAAGUAUUCAAGAACUGAUAAGUAAGAUUUCCCAUCAAUUAGAUGAUUUAGCUCAGCAGCGAGGAGUAGUUUUUGAGGAUAGGCCUAGUUCUUAUUAUCCUUAUUCCGGAAGCAAUCCUUAUGUUGCUCCUACAUGCCAUAUUUGUGGAUUUCAGGGCCAUUCGCCCGCUGAAUGUCAGCGUGGUUACUCUCACACUCCAGAUUGUUUUGGCAUGAGCUUCGCUCAAGAGCAUAGCUCAUACCAAAACAAUUACUCACAUGGGUGUCCUGAAAACCCGAAUAUGUCAUAUAGGAGCAACAACCCCGAGAUCUCACCGCUUGCUUCUAGUAAUCAUAUGCAGGGAUUUAGGUAUGAAGAGGAGAGCCACAGCUAUGCUCCACAACAGUCUUAUUCAGCUCCUAUUCAUAUACCUCAGCACGAGGAGAUGUUGCCAAUGGAGUUAAAUGGUCCUCCAUUUGGUCAACCAACACCUUCAACACAAGUGCCUACUCAAGAUGAGUUUGAUGACAUAGACAAGUUCACACUUUUGAGUCUUGAGUUCAGUUGGAGUGCCGAGGAUGAUCCUAUUAGGAAGGUUAUACUAGAUGAAAUGAAGAAGAUCAAGAGUGGGAAUGAGCUAGUGGAAGAAGUAAAGAAGAUUGAGAAGAACAUCAACGCUGGCAGCUCUAUUUCUUCACAGCUAGAGCUGAGUGUUGCUGAGAUUCCCCUUGAUACAUGUGAGGUUCCAACACCUUCACAUUUCGUUGAGCAAGUUAGCAAGUGCCUUGAGCAAGAGAUACCUCAGAUUGAAGAAGAUGAACUAGAAGACAAGGACCAAGAUGGUCAAGAGCUGCAAUUCCCAAGUGAUCAAGUUGAAGACUCAUCAUCUACUACUGAAGAACUACAAGAAGCUGCUGUAGAUAAAGAUGAAGAUCAUGAGAUUCAUUUGCCUAUUGUCAUACCAGAGCGUGAUGUGUCAGGUUUACUCAAUCCUCUUGAUGACAUGAUGCCUUGUGAUUUCUUUGCUACUACCUUGCUUUACAUGAUACUAUCACUUAAGAUUGAUUUGAAAACUCAUUUGCUUGGAUAUGAUGAUAUAUACCCUGUUAGUGGUAUUACUCUCAUUUGUGAUGAUCAUAGUUACUUUCCUCGUGCUAAUCCUAUGCUUAAUGAAACAUAUCACUCCCAUGCUAGUCUUGCACUUAAUGAUAAAUGUCAUCCUCGUGUGAGUAUUGACCAUGCUGAUUUCUGCCAUCCUAAACAUGUGCUUUAUAGUUAUGCUUAUAUAAUUGGAUAUUCCAUUGAUGACUUGGAGGGCAUCGACCGUAUCACUUGUAGUUGUUUGUGUGAGUCCUAUUUCAGGCUUUUGCUACUGCACUGUUUACUACAUGCUGACCAGGUUUGAGGUGACAUUCCUUGGGAUCCUGGUGGAGUCACAGCAUGGCGAUGAGGGGAGCACAAACAGGGAACACAAACAGAGAAGAGUGGAGAGAAGAAAGUAGGAGAGAAGAGUAUACAAAUACCAGGUGAUUCUGUUCCACUUGAAGCAACCUUUAGAAAAUUUAGUACGAGAACUGGCAUUUUAUUGCAUUGAAACGCUUUUUGCAUUGUGACACCUUACUCUUCACUGCAAAGUAGGAUUCACUCCAAGAAGAUUGUUGAUUCUCUUAAUACUAAAACUAUGCAGCAGUAUUCUUCUUAUGGUAAUUUGUGAUAAUGAAUACUUUAUACCUCCAUGUAAAUGUUCAAUGGGAAUGCCUUGAGUCUAAGUGAAACCUACUAAUGAAUUGAUGUGCUGUGUCUGACUGUCCCACGUUAAGCUAAGUAACUGGUGGCACUUAAGUAGUAGCUAUGAUCUCUGGAUCUGUAGUAUGUGAAAAACAGUGCCAUUAGUUAUGGAUUCCUCUUUCAAUUAUUCCUGUUUUACUUAAGCUAAGUAAUUUUCAAAUAACUAAAUAAAAUAAUUAUAAUAUUUUAAGUCCGAUCGACCUAUAGUAGCAUGUCAUGUUCCCUGGAUCGGUGGCUUGUGAAAUCUGGUAGAUUGGACUCUAAAAAAAAAUUAUAUAAAAAUGCUAUAAUUUGUCGAACCAGGUGUAUACCAUGUUCUCGGGAUCGGUGGUAUGUUCCUUUGGGGAGAUAACAAAAAAAUAUACUAAUAAUUUGGUCGAGCCAGGUGUAUACCAUGUUCUCGGGAUCGGUGGUAUGUUCCUUUGGUGAGACUGAUAUAAUAUCAUCACUUGUGCUUUAAAUUCAAUAAGUAACUUGUUUUUCUAAUUGAUUUUGGGGUCCCAGCUUAUCUCAGGGCUGAAGACAGAGCCAGCUCUUGAUUAUUAGUAUUCACUUUGACUCAAGGCCAUUGACUUGGAACAUUUACAGUGUGUUAUAAAAUAUUUCUUAUCACAAUUUAGCUUCAGUAGAGUACAUUUGCUUAGUUCCAGUAUUGUCGGAAUUACUAUCUAUCGGAAAGUGCAUAUUUACUAGGCAGUGUGAGUUGUGUCACCAUCAAAUUUUUUUUCCUUUGCUCGAGGACAAGCAAAGAUUUAAGUGUGGGGGAACUUGAUAAGCACAUUUCUUAUAUACUAUUUGGGCACACAAAUUCACCUUUUAUUGAGAUAUAUCCAUCCAUUCUUGCUAUGACUUGUUGAAUAUUUGAAUGAUAACCAUAAAAGAGAAUGUUGACUAGUGAAUUGUUUAUUUUGCAGAAAAGUGCGCAAAUGCACUAUAAUCGUCAAGACUUCUACUAUGUGGCUAACGAGAAGAGAGAAGGGCAUGAAAGAAAUACGUCAAGGCUUGAGCGUGAAGGAAAGAAGUAAUGUAGGGGAGCAAACUAAAAGAAGAGGAGGAUCUUCUUGGGAAGAAAGAAGAAAGGAGGAGGGCCAAAGUAAAAAAAGACAAAACAGAGGAGGGGAUCAAAAAUCCCUAGCGCAGCCGAUCCCCAUCAGGCCUCGCAUCUCACCUCUCUCCCUCACCCCUCCUUCUCCACCACCGGCCGUCGCCGCGGCCAGGCCGGCGUGGCGGUGCGCCUGCUGCUCCUCCACUCAGCCACGAGCACCAUCCGCCGCACCAUCCAUCCAUCCCAGCCGCGCCGCGCCAUCCAUCCACCACUCCACCAGCGUCACCAGCUCCACUUCACCACCGCGCCUCCACCAGCGCCCACCUCGCGCGCCCCUCCUGCCGCUUCCUCUCUGAACCUGCUAUUGCUGCUGCAUCUUCCUUCUUCCUCUUGACCUCCUGUUGCUCUUCUCCAAGCACCGCUGCUGCUCCUUCCUUGCAACCCCCCUGUUGUUGUUCAUCCUCUCCACCUCCUUGCGCCUCCCUGCCGGUACCCUUCUCUGCUGAAAACUGCUGCUGCUUGUGCGCUCCAGCUGCUCCUUCUUCUCCUGCCUACUGCUAGUUCUUCUUCCCCACAUCACUUUUGCUGCUCCUCUUCUCUGCCUCGCUACUGUUCUUCUUACCUGAACCUCAAAAUUGUUGCUGUUCUCUUCUAAACAACAAAACUGCUGCUACUACUACCUCAACCUCCUGUUGCUUUCUUUCUUUCUCACUCUCUUUGAAAUUUCUGUAAGAUUGAGACGCAUAUGAUUUGUAUUAUUCAGAUUUGAUAAGUGUUAGUAAUCUACUGUUGUUCAGUUCAGACUUCCUGUGUGUGUUAAUUAGUUAAAAUUGUCACUUCUGUACUGCUUGUUGCAGAUUCUUGAUCAUUUUUGUUAUCUAUGUGUUAGCUCAUGCAUCUGAGAAUUAUAAAGACUGUGUGGUUGAUGUGAAACAAUUAUAUAUAUGUCUCCUGUUUGUUAGUUAGUGGUUUGUAUAAAUUCGGAUUACUACUUGUGAUUUAAUUUUGUAUUGAAAUUGUUCUCUGUGGUAGUCAGUUGUGUGAUCAUUCAAUUUUCAGUCUAUGUAUUAGCUCUGUACCUGUAAUAUAUGUUGUGACAUGAAGCAUUUUCAUCCUUGUCCAUUAUCUUGUUUCUUCACUCUGUCAUACGCUUGUUAGAUAAAUAUAUGUGUUCAUGUCCUGUUGUUCCCUUUUGUGUUAGCAUUUUAGUUUCUCAAGUAAUAGGAAAACACCAAAAAAGACAAUACAGACAAUCUGAACUUCCCCUUUGCUUAUUUUACAUUUUCUUUGGCGACGAUCUUCGGGAACUACCUUGUUUAGUUUAGGUUUAUUUUCUUGCAUUUAUAAUCUGAGUUCUGUCACCUAGCUUUAGCCGAGCAUUGUUGCUGUCGCCUAGUCCCUG
rnacentral:lncRNA from 1 species